UAGCCCAUAUGUUAAUUGAGGAACAGCUUCAAGCUGGUCAUGUAGAGCCUAUGGUCAGCCCUUGGAGCACACCCAUCUUUGUAAUUAAGAAAAAAAUCUGGCAAUUGGAGAUUAUUAGAGCUAUUGACCGUGUUAUAGAGCCCAUGGGAGCAUUAUAAUAUGGGCUUCCUUCUCUAACAGGUAACUCUUUAAAUUAUAAUUUGAUAGUAGUAGAUCUAAAAGAUUGUUUUUUUCUCUAUACCUUUGCACCCAGAUGACUGUAAAAAGUUUGCCUUGAG
rnacentral:ncRNA from 1 species